GGGCCCGCACAAGCGGAGGAGCAUGUGGUUUAAUUCGAUGAUACGCGAGGAACCUUACCUGGGCUUAAAUGUCAGAUGCAAUCUUGGGAAACCAGGAGUCUCUUCGGAGCAUUUGGCAAGGUGCUGCAUGGCUGUCGUCAGCUCGUGCCGUGAGGUGUUGGUUAAGUCCCGCAACGAGCGCAACCCCUAUCAUUAGUUGCCAUCAGGUAAAGCUGGGGACUCUAAUGAAACUGCCUACGUAAGUAGAGAGGAAGGCGGGGCACGACGUCAAGUCAUCAUGGCCCUUACGCCCAGGGCUACACACGUGCUACAAUGGUAAAGUACAAUGAGAUGCCACUUGGUAACAAGGCG
rnacentral:rRNA from 1 species